AUUGAACGCUGGCGGCAUGCCUUACACAUGCAAGUCGAACGGCAGCACGGGUGCUUGCACCUGGUGGCGAGUGGCGAACGGGUGAGUAAUACAUCGGAACGUACCUUAUCGUGGGGGAUAACGCAGCGAAAGCUGUGCUAAUACCGCAUACGCCCUGAGGGGGAAAGCGGGGGAUCGCAAGACCUCGCGCGAUUAGAGCGGCCGAUGCCUGAUUAGCUUGUUGGUGGGGUAAAAGCCCACCAAGGCGACGAUCAGUAGCUGGUCUGAGAGGACGAUCAGCCACACUGGGACUGAGACACGGCCCAGACUCCUGCGGGAGGCAGCAGUGGGGAAUUUUGGACAAUGGGGGCAACCCUGAUCCAUCAAUGCCGCGUGAGUGAAGAAGGCCUUCGGGUUGUAAAGCUCUUUUGUCAGGGAAGAAACACCGGCUCUAACACAGUCCGGGAAUGACGGUACCUGAAGAAUAAGCACCGGCUAACUACGUGCCAGCAGCCGCCGUAA
rnacentral:rRNA from 1 species